rnacentral:rRNA from 1 species
GACGAACGCUGGCGGCGUGCUUAACACAUGCAAGUCGAGCGGUGAGGCCCUUUCGGGGGUACGACGAGCGGCGAACGGGUGAGUAACACGUGGGUGACCUGCCCUCAGCUCUGGGAUAAGCCUGGGAAACCGGGUCUAAUACUGGAUAUGACUCCAUGACGCAUGUUGUGGGGUGGAAAGCCUUGUGCGGCUGAGGAUGGGCCCGCGGCCUAUCAGCUUGUUGGUGGGGUGAUGGCCUACCAAGGCGACGACGGGUAGCCGGCCUGAGAGGGCGACCGGCCACACUGGGACUGAGACACGGCCCAGACUCCUACGGGAGGCAGCAGUGGGGAAUCUUGCGCAAUGGGCGAAAGCCUGACGCAGCGACG